rnacentral:lncRNA from 1 species
UGCUGAAUAAAUAUUAUUCAAUAAUGAAUAUCAUACAAUAAGUUCUGAAAAAUAAGUUAAAUUAAAUUAAUAUAUUACAAUUUUUUAUGAAUGAGCAUAUUAUAAAUAAGUGAACAAAAGUAAUCGAAUAUCUACUUUAACACUCUGAAUAUUUGUUCAACUCAUUCUGGAGCUACUUGCAUAUCCCUUUCUCGGACGAUCACCCAUCCCACCUUGAUAACUUUCACUAAACCAGUCAUUUUGUCUUGCUCACGGAUUCAAAUUCUUCCAUACACCAAAUGCAGCCUAAUCAAUAUAUCACAAAUUAGAAAAAACAGAAUUCAAACACAGAAUAAGUUAAUGAACAAAGAUCAAAUCUAUUUGAAUAAACUAAAAAAGUUAAAGAAUAUACGUAGAAAAUUUAUGAAUAGAUUUCUGGUGCAUCAUACGCCGCCUCAACUGUCUGAUUCGAGAUGCCAAACACUAUAAGAUAGUUUCUGAAUAACAUAUCAAACAUACUGAACAUAAUAAUACCUUUCCUGAACAAACUAACAAAUAUUCUGAAUAAUAUCUUCUACUUACUGAAUAACUUAACAAAUGCACCGAUCACAUAAUAAUUAUCUAAUACCCAAUUAAUAAAAAUAGCUUACGAAUAACUCAACAAACAUACUGAACAACAACACGAUAUAUACUAAAUAAACUUUACAAGUAUUCUGAAUAAGUACAACUAUUUUUGAAUAACCUGAAACAUAUACUGAAUAAACGUUAGUAAAGAAAAUCAGUUAAUUAAACUCAAUAAUCAUCCAAAAAUGAUUCAAAAUUCUCAAAUAGUACGCAUUUCCUAGUCUGAAACAUAUUCAACAAUUUUUUCAGAAUGAAAUAGAGUCAGCAAAAUCCACAUAAUAUUCAAAAUAAAUCUGAANAAAAAAAUUAAAACUUUAUUCUCAUAAAUAAAAGAACCAUAUCGAGACAAACCUAAAAAUCACAGAAGAAACCUAAUUCGAAACAAGACAUUCAAACAUCACCCGAUGAAACUGAUCAGAUUCAAACGAAUAAAGGGGAAAACAAAGGAGCCCAUUAGUAAAAACAAACAAACAGAAAAGAAAAGGGAAAAAGUAGUUUACUUGAGGGAGAAUGUCUGCAAUUGAGAUGAAAAAGAAAGUGAUUUGGAAGUCAAUGCAACAUUUGCGAGAGAUUUAGGCAAAGGCCGGUUCCCAAUUCUUGAUGUGGGCUGAAUAGAACAAAUCAAACACUAAAAUCGUUAUUCGAUCAUUGAUUUUCGCAGCUGCCAAAUGUUAUUUACCAACCAACAAGAACAAAUCAAACAAUAAAGCCUAACAAGAACAACUUACACGGUUUCAGACGGCCAAAUCCAGAGCUUCGCCGCCGGAUAACUGAAUAGUCGCCGACCAAUUCCAAGCGCCGUUGUUGUAGUUGGAGAGGAAUCGCCUCUGCUGUAGGGUAUCCGAAGUGUGUCCGUGGUGGUUUGCAAAAGUCGUGGGGUGGGGGUGAGAGUAAAUUCCUUAAUUAC